CACAGUUAGUAAGACUCAGUCGUUGAAUUUAUGCUCUGCUUUUGUUUCCAUAUUACCUAAUUUAACCAUUAUAUAGGAGACAAGUGUAUUGUGCCCUUUUUGUCCAAUUUGCAUUUCUUUUUUUCUCUUCACAAUUCUCUACUUCCAGGUAUUUGAAAAAUGAGACCACUUUGUUACCAUGGUGACUCACAGGUGAAGAGAAAAGUAAGCCGCAAGUUUGCUGUGUUCUGAUGGACUGCUGCUUCAUCAAAAAAAUUUUCCCACGCUGUUCUCAAAAUGAAUGGGGUCUCCGCUACUUCCCAACAAAGCCAACAUCUGGUUUAAGCAAGUUCAGAGUUUUGGGCUGAGGAUAACAGGAUGGUAAUAUACCCACCUCCAGAUGGUACACUCCUGGAAUCAAACCUACGACCUUGUGCAGAUCAGCUACUAAGGCUGCAAAGCGCAAAAACAAGUAUCCUAACCUGCAGAGCUAAAAUAACAUUUUUUCGGGUAGGGAGGCAGUUGCUUAUCUUUACUGUUGGGUAACGCUCAUUGUAACAGUUUUAAAAUCAUCUGAUACUCAGCUUCAUAAAAACUCAUCCCAGUUAACAUUAAGUCACACAACCUUCAACAAAAAAUCUAAUCUAAUUGUCCUAACAAGUUAUAUAGUAUUCCCUAUUAAAAAUGAUUUCCAUUUGAUGCA